AGAGUUUGAUCAUGGCUCAGAUUGAACGCUGGCGGUAACUUUUAAACAUGCAAGUCGAGCGGUAACAGACAUAAAGAUUCAGCUUGCUGAAUCCGGUGCUGACGAGCGGCGAACGGGUGAGUAACGCGUAGGAAUCUACCCAGUAGCGGGGGAUAGCCCGGGGAAACCCGGAUUAAUACCGCAUACGCCCUAAGGGGGAAAGGGGGCAGCUUGCUGCUCUCACUAUUGGAUGAGCCUGCGUAAGAUUAGCUUGUUGGUGGGGUAAUGGCCUACCAAGGCAACGAUCUUUAGCUGGUCUGAGAGGACGAUCAGCCACAUUGGGACUGAGACACGGCCCAGACAUCUACGGAUGGCAGCAGUUAAGAAUAUUGGACAAUGGGGGCAACCCUGAUCCAGGUAUACCGCGUGUGUGAAGAAGGCCCUAGGGUUGUAAAGCACUUUAAUCAGAGAAGAAGCAUUUUAAGUUAAUACCUUAAUAUGUUGACGUUACCUGAAGAAUAAGGACCGGCUAACUCCGUGCCAGCAGCCGCGGUAAUACGGAGGGUCCAAGCGUUAAUCGGAAUUACUGGGCGUAAAGCGCGCGUAGGCGGUUUAGCAAGUUGAAUGUGAAAGCCCUGGGCUCAACCUAGGAACUGCAUUCAAAACUACUAAGCUAGAGUACGAGAGAGGAGAGUAGAAUUUCUGGUGUAGCGGUGAAAUGCGUAGAUAUCAGAAGGAAUACCAAUGGCGAAGGCAGCUCUCUGGCUCGUCACUGACGCUGAGGUGCGAAAGCGUGGGUAGCAAACAGGAUUAGAUACCCUGGUAGUCCACGCCGUAAACGAUGAGAACUAGCCGUUGGGCAGAUUUAACUGUUCAGUGGCACAGCUAACGCAUUAAGUUCUCCGCCUGGGGAGUACGGCCGCAAGGCUAAAACUCAAAUGAAUUGACGGGGGCCCGCACAAGUGGUGGAGCAUGUGGUUUAAUUCGAUGCAACGCGAAGAACCUUACCU
rnacentral:rRNA from 1 species